rnacentral:rRNA from 1 species
GGGUUGUGAGGUUAAGCGACUAAGCGUACACGGUGGAUGCCCUGGCAGUCAGAGGCGAUGAAGGGCGUGCUAAUCUGCGAUAAGCGCCGGUAAGGUGAUAUGAACCGUUAUAACCGGCGAUACCCGAAUGGGGAAACCCAGUGUGACUCGUCACACUAUCAUUAACUGAAUCCAUAGGUUAAUGAGGCGAACCGGGGGAACUGAAACAUCUAAGUACCCCGAGGAAAAGAAAUCAACCGAGAUUCCCCCAGUAGCGGCGAGCGAACGGGGAGGAGCCCAGAGCCUGAAUCAGCAUGUGUGUUAGUGGAAGCGUCUGGAAAGGCGCGCGAUACAGGGUGACAGCCCCGUACACAAAAGCGCAUGUGCUGUGAGCUCGAUGAGUAGGGCGGGACACGUGGUAUCCUGUCUGAAUAUGGGGGGACCAUCCUCCAAGGCUAAAUACUCCUGACUGACCGAUAGUGAACCAGUACCGUGAGGGAAAGGCGAAAAGAACCCCGGCGAGGGGAGUGAAAAAGAACCUGAAACCGUGUACGUACAAGCAGUGGGAGCCCCACCACCAAAGCAUUUGCUGUACCGCGUUGACGGAGCGAAGCGACGUCAAACCGAUAAAACAGCAGUGUAAAGUGAGCCGCA